AUUAUUUUAUUUUAUUUUUUAUUUUUCUCUCUCCUCUCUCUUCCUUUUUUUCCUUUACCUACUCUCACCCACCCAUUCUUCUCUCUCCAAUUCCCUUUGGCUGGCUACCUCACAUUUUUUUCCCCCUUUUCUUCUCCAUUCAUCUUUCUUCUCUCACUCCCACACCGCGGACCCCCCAUCCUUCUCCCUCAUCUCUCAUUUAUUUCUCUUUUUUUCAUCUGGGGGGGGGGGGGUGUGUGCUUCCGGCGGGCCAUUUUUUCUUCAGCCCUCUAUCUCCCCUUGCCCCUCACACGGCGAACCCCUCCCACUCUCCUUCUUCUUCCCUUUGGUCGGCCCCCCAUUAGAGGAGGUUCCUCAAUUUUUUUCCCUUUUUGUUGCUACUUUUUCUGGAAAUAGAAAGAGCCGACCUAUUUUAUUUAUUUAUUUAUUUAUUUCUUCCUCCAUUCCUCUUUUCCUUCCCACGACCAGCUCCUAUUUUUCCCCCCUUCCCCCUCCAUUCUCUAUUUUUUUCUUUUCUUAUUUUUUUUAGUUUCUCCUCCCAUUUUCCCGAGAAGGGCCGACCCCCCAUUUUUCUCUUUCUUUUUUUCUUCAUCCCCUAAUUCCCAGCCGACCCAUCUUCCUAUCUCCUCUUCCAUUUUUAUUUUUUUAUUUUAAUUUUUUAAUUUUUCAUUUUUCAUCUCCUUCUUAAUUCCCAUACGGCCCCAAAAUUUUUUCCUUUUCCAUUUCUUUUUUUAUUUAUUAUUUAUUUCCCGUGUAUUAUUAUUAUUAUUAUUAUUAUUAUUAUUACUAUUUUUUUAUUUGAUGUUAAUAAUAAUUAUUGUUGAAAUUGGGUUUGUGUAUUUAUGUUUGAUUGUGGGUCUUAUGUUUGGGCUUUGUUAAUUAAUAUAAAAUUUGGGUUAAUUUAUUAUUGAUAGAUUAAUUUGAAAUUGGUUAAUUUGGGUUUGUGGGAUUAAUUUAGGAUAUUUGGACUAUAUCAAUUGCAUAUUAUUUAUUUGGAGUUGGGUCUAUUGUCAAUUUGUUAUUGGUUUGGGGCUUAUUAGAUUGGACUUGAAAUAUUACUUUCAUAUUAUUUAUUUAGACUUGGGCAUAUUGUUAAUUUUUUAUUUGUUUGAGCUUAUUGAACUGAGCUUAAAAUAUUAUUUCCAUAUUGUUUAUUUGGAUUUCGGCAUGUUGUUAAUUUAUUAUUUGUUUGGAUUUAUUGGAUUGGGCUUGAAAUAUUAUUUUCCUUGACCAUGUAUAUUUCUUUUAUGUAGGCUUGUUAAUUGAUGUAAAUUUUGGGGCCCAUAAUGUGGGUGAUAUUUGUUGGAUUAUUUGAAUAUUUGAUAUGGGCUUGACUAAUUUGAAUUAUUUAAUUUGGACAUGGGACAAUUGUGGAGUAUAUUAAAUUAGACCUAGAUUAUGAAAUAUUAUAUUUAGGCCUAGUAGAAUUUAUUUUAAUUUAUCCAAUUUUAGGUUUGAUUGAUUAUGUUUGUAUUUUUUGUUAUUAAUUUGGAUGUUCUAGGUUAAGACCUAUAGUAAUUUGAGCUCAUUUUAAUCGGUGAAAUUUAUGGAAUUAAUUUGAAAUUGGAAUUUGGGUUUGAAUAUUUGUUUGGGAUUUUGUACAUCUUUGGAUAUUUACAUUUGUGUUAUUCUUGUUUUUGCAUGGACCCACUUUGCAAUCUUGUUGGCUGAGUACGAAUUGAUGACACGUGAAGCUUGUUAUUGAAUUUUUGGUUCGCACGACCGAGAACUUUGAUGAGUUGAUGGUUGCUACAGCUGAGGAAAGCGAAUGUGGAGACUACAAGGAACAAAACUGAAUUAACAUGUUAUGAUCAUACUUGUGUUAGGAGUUUUCAAUUAAAUAUAAACAACAACAACAUAUCAAUUGA